GUCCAGACUCCUACGGGAGGCAGCAGUGGGGGAUAUUGCACAAUGGGGGAAACCCUGAUGCAGCGACGCCGCGUGGGUGAAGAAGCGCCUCGGCGCGUAAAGCCCUGUCAGCAGGGAAGAAAAUGACGGUACCUGAAGAAGAAGCCCCGGCUAACUACGUGCCAGCAGCCGCGGUAAUACGUAGGGGGCAAGCGUUAUCCGGAUUUACUGGGUGUAAAGGGGGCGCAGACGGCAGCGCAAGCCAGGAGUGAAAGCCCGGGGCCCAACCCCGGGACUGCUCUUGGAACUGCGCGGCUGGAGUGCAGGAGGGGCAGGCGGAAUUCCUGGUGUAGCGGUGAAAUGCGUAGAUAUUAGGAGGAACACCAGUGGCGAAGGCGGUCUGCUGGACAGCAACUGACGCUGAGGCGCGAAAGCGUGGGGAGCAAACAGGAUUAGAUACCCGAGUA
rnacentral:rRNA from 1 species